rnacentral:lncRNA from 13 species
GUUUGUUUCUGUUUAUGUCAGAACUCCAAGGUGGUGGGAAAUUUGGACUGUGCCAAGGGAAGUCCAGGUUGGAGAAGUUAAUCCCUGCCAUGUUUCAAGUUACACGUGGCCAGCAAAUACCCAAAGAAAUGGGAACUGUAGCAGAGAAUGUAGCGUUUUCUCCAUUUCCAUUUCCCCACACCCCCAGGACACACAGCUUAAUUAUGCAUUUGUUCUCCUUGCAGGUCUGUGUGAGUUUUGGCAGGUGGAAGGUUGACGGCAGUGAUGUGUGUCAUUUCCAGUCCUGGCACCUAAAUAACUCCUGUGUGUGCUCCUUGGUGGCUCACUCUUGCCUUGUUGGCCAACCAGAUGCAGAAGAUCCAGCAUCGAGUCCUCCAGGACUCCAAGGCCAUGUGAGCACAAUGAGAAGGUGGCCAUCUCUAAGCCAGGAAGAGAGCCCUCACUCAUCAGAACCUGACUGUGCUGACACUCUGAUCUUGACCUUCCAGCCUCCAGAAUGGACCUGGAAUUGAAGACUUGAUCUGCUGGCUCCAGCUGCUGCCAAUCUUCCACAAUGGAUGCUGAGCAACGACUGCUCCCCUCAACCUAGGAGCUGUGAAGGCUAAGAGUCAAAGUGCAAGAAUGGGAACGAGGCAGCAGUCACAGGCAUUGGGGUCAAAUACAUGGCCUCAGGUAGAUCCUGUGUUCCUCCUGGCACGCGCUGUCUGAAAGAUAUCUGCUCAAAGAGAUAAUGAGAUAAGGAUAACUUCAAAGAACUGGAAGAACUAACUAGUCCCAUCUCUGAGGAGACUAUUAAUGAGCUGG